rnacentral:ribozyme from 1 species
CGAGCUUCGUCGACAGUGGAGCCACUUUGGAGCGAACGGGCCGGCGAAGACGACGAGUGCGGAAGUAUAAGAAGACUAGA